AGUUUGAUCCUGGCUCAGGAUGAACGCUGGCGGCGUGCCUAAUACAUGCAAGUCGAACGAAUCUCUUUUAGAGAUGAGUGGCGAACGGGUGAGUAAUACAUAGGUAACCUGCCCCUGUGCGGGGGAUAACAGGAGGAAACUCCUGCUAAUACCGCAUAGCCAUGAGCACCGCAUGGAGCUCAUGCCAAAUAUCCUUUCGGGGAUAGCGCAGGGAUGGACCUAUGGCGCAUUAGCUUGUUGGCGGGGCAACGGCCCACCAAGGCAACGAUGCGUAGCCGGCCUGAGAGGGCGGACGGCCACAUUGGGACUGAGACACGGCCCAGACUCCUACGGGAGGCAGCAGUAGGGAAUUUUCGGCAAUGGGGGAAACCCUGACCGAGCAACGCCGCGUGAGCGAAGAAGGCCUUCGGGUCGUAAAGCUCUGUUGUAAAGGAAGAACGGCGCAUACAGGAAAUGGUAUGCGAGUGACGGUACUUUACCAGAAAGCCACGGCUAACUACGUGCCAGCAGCCGCGGUAAUACGUAGGUGGCGAGCGUUAUCCGGAAUCAUUGGGCGUAAAGAGGGAGCAGGCGGCCGCAAGGGUCUGUGGUGAAAGACCGAAGCUAAACUUCGGUAAGCCAUGGAAACCGGGCGGCUAGAGUGCGGAAGAGGAUCGUGGAAUUCCAUGUGUAGCGGUGAAAUGCGUAGAUAUAUGGAGGAACACCAGUGGCGAAGGCGACGGUCUGGGCCGCAACUGACGCUCAUUCCCGAAAGCGUGGGGAGCAAAUAGGAUUAGAUACCCUAGUAGUCCACGCCGUAAACGAUGGUCACUAAGUGUCGGGGGUCAAACCCCGGUGCUGCAGUCAACGCAAUAAGUGACCCGCCUGAGUAGUACGUUCGCAAGAAUGAAACUCAAAGGAAU
rnacentral:rRNA from 1 species